GUGACCUGGGAGACCACGCCCAGUCUUCUGUCAUCGGAGGAGACCGAGGACGAGCGUUCUGUGUUGGAGGCCAUGAUGUCACACCCUCAUUGGAAAAUCAUCAACAGGGUCCUGUUGAGGAAGAACAAGAGCGUAGCUGAGCUGCAGGAGCGCUCGGAGGAGGUCAUGGAGUGGGUUCUCAAGGUG